UGGGGAAUUUUGGACAAUGGGCGCAAGCCUGAUCCAGCAAUGCCGCGUGCAGGAUGAAGGCCUUCGGGUUGUAAACUGCUUUUGUACGGAACGAAACGGCUCUGUCUAAUACAUGGGGCUAAUGACGGUACCGUAAGAAUAAGCACCGGCUAACUACGUGCCAGCAGCCGCGGUAAUACGUAGGGUGCAAGCGUUAAUCGGAAUUACUGGGCGUAAAGCGUGCGCAGGCGGUUAUGUAAGACAGAUGUGAAAUCCCCGGGCUCAACCUGGGACCUGCAUUUGUGACUGCAUAGCUAGAGUACGGCAGAGGGGGAUGGAAUUCCGCAUGUAGCAGUGAAAUGCGUAGAUAUCGGGAGGAACACCAGUGGCGAAGGCGGCGAUCUGGGUCGAUACUGACGCUGAGGUGCGAAAGCGUGGGGAGCAAACA
rnacentral:rRNA from 1 species